ACUGGGAAAUCGGAAAAAUACGAAGUGAAACUGAUGUCCGUGAUCUUCAGCUUGGAAAGUCGGAGCUCUAGAAAGAGGCUCGAGUUCCCGAGUUGGAUGACCGUUUAAAUCGAUUAUCCAAGUCAGAGCUAGUUUUUUCCUCCCGAGUUCCCAAUUGCUACGAACACUCGGAAAUCUAGUUUACUGUUGUCUUGACAGCGCAUGAGCGCUUGGUCUUUGUCGCAGAAGUGGGAGGGAACGCAUGGGCCGUCCUGUAUUUUUAUUGGUGUUUUGGAAUGAAAAGUGGAGUCCAGAGCUAUGAUUGGUUGCGUUGCCGGGGAUAUAAAAGUUAAAUAAUCACAUUUCUUUCUUUCUCUAUUCUCUCACAAGGUGAAGGAAGGCUUUGCCGUUGUUUAACUCCGACCAACAUCAGCGUCGCCUUCGGUCACGAAUUUGGCAACAUGUCUAAAAGACCGGCAGUUGGCAUUGAUCUUGUGAGCACCUACUCCUGCUUGGGUGUGUUCCAGCAUGGUUGAAAUCAUUGCCAGCGACCAUGGCCUACAGGACCACUCCAAGUUAUGUUUCCUUCACAGACUCAAGACUUAUUGGUGAUGCCGUCAAUAAUCGGGUUACCAUGAACCCUGCAAACACAGUAUUCGUCAACAAUGCAGUCGUUACCGUGCCUGCUUAAUUCAACGACUCCCAGCGCCAGGCAUCCAAAGAUGCUGGCACCACCUCAGGCCUGGAUGUACUGCAUAUCAUCAAUGAGCCAACUGCUGCUCCCAUUUCCUACGGCUUGGAUAAGUAGGUGUAUGAGGGUGAGAGGGCCAUGACCAAGGACAACAACCUGUUGGGCAAGUUGGCGCUGACUGGAAUCCCCCCUGCACCUUGCGAUGUUCUUCAGAUUGAGGUCACCUUUGACAUUGACGCUAACGACAUCAUGAAGGUGUCUGCAGCUGACAAGCACACUGGCAAGGAUGACAAGAUCACUAUCAUCAAUGACAAGGACUGCUGAGAAGGAAGAGUAUGAGCACCACCAGAAGGAGCAUCGCCAUGUUUUACCAAGGUGCUGGUAUGCCCGACGGCAUGGCUGGUCGAUUCCCCCGAGCUGGUGGUGCGGUUCCUGGUGGCUGUGGGUUAUCUUAACUGACUUGAGGAAGUCAACUAAACCAUUCCACUGUUUCUGCAACUACCUCCCCCUCACAAGCAACGUUUGAAAUGUUCUACUUGUUUGUGAUGGAGUCAGUGACUCUUGUCAGUGAGAUUUUAAAGUUAGAAAAAAGGUUGCCUGAUCAUACUUCUAUUGCAACUUUGUCUGCUACAGAACAGUAAUUUUCUGUUUGCUCAACUAGGCUGUCAGAUUUCACAUGGAGUAUAUUGUGCCUUUAAGACCAAAUAAAACAUGGUGACCUUCCACCAACUUUUAAA